UAGUAUAAGCAAUUAUACAGCGAAACUGCGAAUGGCUCAUUAUAUAAGUUAUCGUUUAUUUGAUAGUACCUUACUACUUGGAUAACCGUGGUAAUUCUAGAGCUAAUACAUGCUAAAAAUCCCGACUUCGGAAGGGAUGUAUUUAUUAGAUUAAAAACCAAUGCCCUCUGGGCUCUCUGGUGAUUCAUGAUAACUUCUCGAAUCGCAUGGCCUUGCGCCGGCGAUGGUUCAUUCAAAUUUCUUCCCUAUCAACUUUCGAUGUUUGGGUAUUGGCCAAACAUGGUCGCAACGGGUAACGGAGGGUUAGGGCUCGACCCCGGAGAAGGAGCCUGAGAAACGGCUACUACAUCCAAGGAAGGCAGCAGGCGCGCAAAUUACCCAAUCCCGACACGGGGAGGUAGUGACAAUAAAUACUGAUACAGGGCUCUUUCGGGUCUUGUAAUUGGAAUGAGUACAAUUUAAAUCCCUUAACGAGGAACAAUUGGAGGGCAAGUCUGGUGCCAGCAGCCGCGGUAAUUCCAGCUCCAAUAGCGUAUAUUAAAGUUGUUGUGGUUAAAAAGCUCGUAGUUGAACCUUGGGCCUGGCUGGCCGGUCCGCCUCACCGCGUGUACUGGUCCGGCCGGGCCUUUCCCUCUGUGGAACCUCAUGCCCUUCACUGGGCGUGACGGGGAAACAGGACUUUUACUGUGAAAAAAUUAGAGUGCUCCAGGCAGGCCUAUGCUCGAAUACAUUAGCAUGGAAUAAUGAAAUAGGACGUGCGGUUCUAUUUUGUUGGUUUCUAGGACCGCCGUAAUGAUUAAUAGGGACAGUCGGGGGCAUCAGUAUUCAAUUGUCAGAGGUGAAAUUCUUGGAUUUAUUGAAGACUAACUACUGCGAAAGCAUUUGCCAAGGAUGUUUUCAUUAAUCAGGAACGAAAGUUAGGGGAUCGAAGACGAUCAGAUACCGUCGUAGUCUUAACCAUAAACUAUGCCGACUAGGGAUCGGACGAUGUAAAUAAUUGACUCGUUCGGCACCUUACGAGAAAUCAAAGUGUUUGGGCUCCAGGGG
rnacentral:rRNA from 1 species